rnacentral:lncRNA from 1 species
UCAUCUCAUUGUUUCUGUCUCUGUCUGGUAGGAGAAAAAAGAUGAACCAGAGAUGGGGAAAGAAAAGGGCCUGAGGCUGAAGAUGAGAUGACCCCUAUCAGAACAAGGGGAUUGGUCACUGACUUAAUCAGGGCCCUGGGAUUGGUUUCAGGACCAGUGCUGAUGGUGCAGAAUGGGAAUGACUUUCCGUGGUGUUGCUGUGUCAAGCAUCACUCCACCUAGAGAGAGGAUCAUCUACGUGAAAUGCAGAAGGGAGAAGCACAUCGAUGUCCAUACUGUAAACCUGUGAGCACAUCUUGCUGCCUUCGGCCCCUGUUCUUUACAGGAGUCCACUGCCUCUAGCUAUUCUCUUCAGAGGGUUAAUGCUGGGGAAACAGGGUCUAAAUAUCUGACUGGGGCGCAAUGUGCCUAACACUAAAACUGUGACCUGGAAUGCAAAUCAAAUGGUCUUACUUAAUGAAGAAAUGACAAGGAAUCAGUCGAUUUGGUUUUUUUGGCACAUAGUUCUAAUUAUAUGACUGUUAUUUUAUUUGGAUUAUCUCAUUUUUUCAGGAAGUUGCAUCCUGACCUCAGGAAGCCAAUCUUUGUCUUUCCAACAUCAUUUUAUACAUUUCCAAAGUCUUGACUAGAGAAUAUAUCAGGAAUUUUCCAUUUUAAUCAUAAUUUUGCCUCAACAAUAACAUAAAAAUGUUUUAUUCAUUUUUCUUACACACUAUUUGACUCUUCUGCCCUCUUUAUUUUGUUCUAAUUUGAUUGUGUGUUUGGCUCAGGCUGUGGGGGAACAGUGCAUUAGGAAGAGAGCCAUCACAUUUUGAGGGUCGCCAGCUGGCGAAAGUUUACAUUUGGUGGAUCCUACUUGCAGAAGAGUUGGUGAACUUGUCAUUGGGUCUUUUAUUCUGAAGUAUUGUGUAGUUUUGUGUUACCACAUGCUUAAUUAAAUUAACUGAGUGCUUGCUGUAUGCUGAGUGUCACACGGCGGAGAGCUAAAAAAAAAAUUUCCUGUCACAUCAUCGGUCAGUUUCCU